rnacentral:rRNA from 1 species
UUGGUGCUUGCAUCAUGAUUUACAUUUGAGUGAGUGGCGAACUGGUGAGUAACACGUGGGAAACCUGCCCAGAAGCGGGGGAUAACACCUGGAAACAGAUGCUAAUACCGCAUAACAACUUGGACCGCAUGGUCCGAGUUUGAAAGAUGGCUUCGGCUAUCACUUUUGGAUGGUCCCGCGGCGUAUUAGCUAGAUGGUGGGGUAACGGCUCACCAUGGCAAUGAUACGUAGCCGACCUGAGAGGGUAAUCGGCCACAUUGGGACUGAGACACGGCCCAAACUCCUACGGGAGGCAGCAGUAGGGAAUCUUCCACAAUGGACGAAAGUCUGAUGGAGCAACGCCGCGUGAGUGAAGAAGGGUUUCGGCUCGUAAAACUCUGUUGUUAAAGAAGAACAUAUCUGAGAGUAACUGUUCAGGUAUUGACGGUAUUUAACCAGAAAGCCACGGCUAACUACGUGCCAGCAGCCGCGGUAAUACGUAGGUGGCAAGCGUUGUCCGGAUUUAUUGGGCGUAAAGCGAGCGCAGGCGGUUUUUUAAGUCUGAUGUGAAAGCCUUCGGCUCAACCGAAGAAGUGCAUCGGAAACUGGGAAACUUGAGUGCAGAAGAGGACAGUGGAACUCCAUGUGUAGCGGUGAAAUGCGUAGAUAUAUGGAAGAACACCAGUGGCGAAGGCGGCUGUCUGGUCUGUAACUGACGCUGAGGCUCGAAAGUAUGGGUAGCAAACAGGAUUAGAUACCCUGGUAGUCCAUACCGUAAACGAUGAAUGCUAAGUGUUGGAGGGUUUCCGCCCUUCAGUGCUGCAGCUAACGCAUUAAGCAUUCCGCCUGGGGAGUACGGCCGCAAGGCUGAAACUCAAAGGAAUUGACGGGGGCCCGCACAAGCGGUGGAGCAUGUGGUUUAAUUCGAAGCUACGCGAAGAACCUUACCAGGUCUUGACAUACUAUGCAAAUCUAAGAGAUUAGACGUUCCCUUCGGGGACAUGGAUACAGGUGGUGCAUGGUUGUCGUCAGCUCGUGUCGUGAGAUGUUGGGUUAAGUCCCGCAACGAGCGCAACCCUUAUUAUCAGUUGCCAGCAUUAAGUUGGGCACUCUGGUGAGACUGCCGGUGACAAACCGGAGGAAGGUGGGGAUGACGUCAAAUCAUCAUGCCCCUUAUGACCUGGGCUACACACGUGCUACAAUGGAUGGUACAACGAGUUGCGAACUCGCGAGAGUAAGCUAAUCUCUUAAAGCCAUUCUCAGUUCGGAUUGUAGGCUGCAACUCGCCUACAUGAAGUCGGAAUCGCUAGUAAUCGCGGAUCAGCAUGCCGCGGUGAAUACGUUCCCGGGCCUUGUACACACCGCCCGUCACACCAUGAGAGUUUGUAACACCCAAAGUCGGUGGGGUA